AUUGAACGCUGGCGGCAUGCUUUACACAUGCAAGUCGAACGGUAACAGGGUGCUUGCACCGCUGACGAGUGGCGAACGGGUGAGUAAUGCAUCGGAAUGUACCGUGUAAUGGGGGAUAGCUCGGCGAAAGCCGGAUUAAUACCGCAUACGCCCUGAGGGGGAAAGUGGGGGACCGAAAGGCCUCACGUUAUACGAGCAGCCGAUGUCUGAUUAGCUAGUUGGUGAGGUAAAGGCUCACCAAGGCGUCGAUCAGUAGCGGGUCUGAGAGGAUGAUCCGCCACACUGGGACUGAGACACGGCCCAGACUCCUACGGGAGGCAGCAGUGGGGAAUUUUGGACAAUGGGCGCAAGCCUGAUCCAGCCAUGCCGCGUGUCUGAAGAAGGCCUUCGGGUUGUAAAGGACUUUUGUCCGGGAGCAAAUCCUAGUGGUUAAUAACCGCUGGGUCUGAGAGUACCGGAAGAAUAAGCACCGGCUAACUACGU
rnacentral:rRNA from 1 species